rnacentral:rRNA from 1 species
GACCCUACGGGGGGCAGCAGUAGGGAAUCUUCCACAAUGGACGAAAGUCUGAUGGAGCGACGCCGCGUGAGUGAAGAAGGGUUUCGGCUCGUAAAGCUCUGUUGGUAGGGAAGAAAGAUAGAGGUAGUAACUGGCCUUUAUUUGACGGUAAUUACUUAGAAAGUCACGGCUAACUACGUGCCAGCAGCCGCGGGAAUAAGUAGGUGGCAAACGGUGUUCGGAUUUAUUGGGGGUAAAGCGGGUGCAGGCGG